UACAGGGGGGGCAAGCGUUGUUCGGAAUUACUGGGCGUAAAGGGCCCGUAGGCGGCCAACUAAGUCACACGUGAAAUCCCCAGGCUUAACCUGGGAACUGCGUGUGAUACUGGAUGGCUUGAAUUCGGGAGAGGGAUGCAGAAUUCCAGGUGUAGCGGUGAAAUGCGUAGAUAUCUGGAGGAAUACCGGUGGCGAAGGCGGCAUCCUGGACCGACAUUGACGCUGAACGGCGAAAGCUAGGGGAGCAAACGGG
rnacentral:rRNA from 1 species